GAUACUUGUUAUUAUCAGCCCGAA
rnacentral:siRNA from 1 species